GACGGAGGGGGCUAGCGUUGUUCGGAUUUACUGGGCGUAAAGAGCGCGUAGGCGGUUUGAUAAGUUGGAAGUGAAAGCCCGGGGCUUAACCUCGGAACUGCUUUCAAAACUGUCAGGCUAGAGUAUAGUAGGGGAUGAUGGAAUUCCUAGUGUAGAGGUGAAAUUCUUAGAUAUUAGGAGGAACACCGGUGGCGAAGGCGAUCAUCUGGGCUAUUACUGACGCUAAUGUGCGAAAGCGUGGGGAGCAAACAGG
rnacentral:rRNA from 1 species